CCUGUAAUUGGAAGAAAUAAUUGAUUGUUAGCAAGGCAACACAUUUUAAUUUGUGUCACACUGUGUACUAAUAAUGUUUCUACCUGCAGGUUGUCCGGUCCAAGAAUUACUCUCUCUCCAACCACAACCUUCAUACUAGGAGAUCUGUUCCUGAUCAGCGGCGGUUGGUCGUUGACAGGCAUCACCGUGAUGUUAAAAGUCUCUGUCACGGGCAGGCUGUCCUUGACAUAGUCAAAAGACAUCAAGUCCACUGAUGAAAGGGAGGAUGCGGUUGAGUAAAACAGCGAUGAGGAAGAAUCCAUGGAAAAAGCAGACAUGUGAGAUGGGGAUGAAGAACCAUAGACUUGACCAACAAUUGACAAGACAGCUCCCACAAACAUUGCGCCACAUCUUCCCAUUGGCAGAGCAUCUGGCAGGAGUGUCUCAAGAGUGAUUUGGUCGAGGAUUUAAGGAGAUCAGUAUUGUGAAGGUGGUUGGUGGGAGGAAGGCCGGAGGAGAAGACACAGUAAAAGAAAAUGUAUCUGAGGCCAGCCAUCCCACCGACUCUGGCUUGUUCUGAUCAUAGAGGAUUACACCUGAAUUCACCUGAGGCAGAAACGAACAUUUUAAUUUAAGAUUAUCAUUUCAUUUGAAAAUGUUAUUCUAGGUUGAGACAAAAGAAUAGUGACCACCAUGCUCUGUGUAAAUGUAGAAAUGUCUUGAGUAGAGUUGUCUGACAUGUGACAGACCAAGCGGCCAAGGUUUGGAGGAACGGUCACGGUAAACGUGACAGUCUGGUUUCUUCUGAGGUCAGUGGGGUCGUUUGUCAGCACCUGAAGCUCCUGCUCAGAAAUUGGCGUCAAUGAACCUAUAAUGUUGAAAAGAACAGUCUUUAAGAUUUGGUAUAAAAUAAAGUUGAAAUUACAGUCGUAAGGAUCUCUUACUCGUGUUUUAAUGUAAAAAUACUACUCAUUUGUUUGUCUUAAAAAGAGGAUAAUUUUGAAGGUUUGGCUGCGAACCAUAGCCAAUGGAGCACAGACAAGGAAUAUUUUAAUCGUUGAUGGAAUUUAUUGUUCAUUUAGCUCAGUACAGCUUAUCCUCAGCUGCGGGAAGCUUAUCUUAGCUGCAUAAAGGCAGGAGGAAGAGAUCCGUUCAUAAGUAUUUUGAAACCACUA